AAAACAGAAGUUAGGGCUCUUCUUCCAUUUAUUUUCUUCGCCAAUUCUCUUCCCAUUGUUUACAGAAAUCAUUAAUAAUAAAAAUUAUUUUCGAUAUUCAAUCCCUUUUAUUCAUAUCCGGUAAUCAAAUUUAUGCGUUACAUUACUACAUAAACCUCAAGAGAGGUUAUCAUCUUCCUAGGUUUCUCCAUUUUUUUCUUCAGCAUACUCUCUCUCUCAAGAAUACUAGGUUUUCGUUGAUGCUGACUUUGUAGAUGCUGGAUUCAUAUCAUUUUUAAUUGAUUCCAAUACUAUUGAAGUUAUACUUUUGCUGAGUAAUUGCUUCCAAUGUUAUGCAGUCCAUACUCAAGAGUUCAGUUUUAAGGUAGAGAGAAAUCCAGCUGAAACAUACUAUGUAUCAGAAAUCGAACUUAUGAAGGGAAAAAACAUAUUUUGCGUGAUAGUGAUAUUAUUCAAACUGCUCAAUAAUGGAGGUUCUUCAAAUGGCUUCGUAGAUAUACACCAGUUUCCAAACAUCUCGCAGCAACCACCUACAGACCUUCCAAUUAUAUAUGCCAAGCUGAAUAAGGCAAACCCUGGGUGUCUCGAAAGUGAAAUGAAAUAGAUUUCAUGAAACCAAUAAUCUGACUAGCUUGGAUGUGUUCAAGAUCUAUGUUAAUGAAAUGAAAGAGAGCCAAUGGUUAUACAUAUAUAUAGGUCAAUCCUUGCAUGAAUGAUGAUGCUUGACCUUACUCUUCAGAACCGUAGAUGGCUAACCAACUCUUGCAUGAGGUACAUUACCGAAUUAUUGCCAAAGCCAGUGCAACUCGAAUUUUGGCUACCACCAAGUGAUAAUAUUUGGGCUGCAAGAAGUGCACCACUACAGUGGUAGAUGAAGUCGGGAACCAUGAAAGCACCAAAUGUGAAAACAAGGUCGAGGAACCUGUAACGCGGUACCUUCUUCGUUUUGAAAUGAUAAACUAUAUCGGCAUAGUGUACCAUAUUUGUUGCGCUGAACAGUGAAGUCCCAUGGAUUAUCCGCCCAUUGCCCCAGACAUAGUCAGGAGGUACCCAACUAUUUGUUUAUCUUUACUUCAUUACGCAGCCUUCAGUCAUUCUAAUUAUGUACACAUUUAGGUUCCGAAGUAUGUAUAUUUUUGCCUCGCGUUUUUCUGUAUCUUUGUGGCUAUUUGUUUAUCCAAAUUUCAUGUUUUUCUGGCACCUGAAAGAGGAAAGUGUAAGGUGGUUGCAGCUUUUGAUGACAUGGAGAAGCAAACCACCCCCAUCUUCAUGAUAACAAAGUUACCUCACCAUAUGGAAGCCCUAACUUCCCCUUCAUCUACUUCUGCACCUGUGUAUCACUUGGCCCCGAUACGGAUGAUGAAACACCGAGAAAUACCCAGUUGCCUCCUAAAUGCCACCUACACUUUCAUUUCCAGUAAUGAAGACUAGCUUUACAGUUCCAUUCCAAAAAAUCAUACUUCUCUGCCAUACGGGUACUAUAUUAGGUGAUUAAAGUUAAGGAUGGAUGACUACAACAAAAAUUUAAUAAAAUGAUAGUCUGUCUAUGCAAAGUUGGUAACUCACCUCUCCGGUAGUAACUUGGCUCGCAAUUUUGUGAAUUUGGUUAUACAUGUAGCUGGAUAUGAAAUUUAAGAAUUAUUGUUUUUGUUUUUUCAGUGGAUAACCAUAGGAAUGAAGACAAGUUGAUGCACUUAUCCAAGUCCUAUUUGUAGUCUAUAAAUGUACGUGUAUGCCGUCUAACAUUCUGGAUCAUUAGUGUGGAUUAUUUUAUAGUCCAAUGAUAAGAAACUGAUACUUAUGUUGGUAAUAGGCGUAAAAGGAGUGUUGUCUUCAUGCAAAAGGAGCUCUCUACGGGAAGAAUGAAAUGUUUGUUCUUCUCUUCUGAGUUCAUUCUGUCAUUCAUUCUCCCCGAUCUUACUGUGUAAUCCCGGGGGGAGUCAAAGCUAUUAGGCCGAUGACCAAAUAUUCCGGUUUAUGUUGCAGUUUUUUGCUUUUGUUCUAUAAAUGACAUGCUUUAAUAUUCCCCACUGAUGUUUAUAUUGUUAGGAGGUUCACGAAUGAAUUUGGAGUAAGUAGGACCUUUGAAAUCUGAAAACCAAAUAAUAAUUGCAGAGAACACUUCUAAUGAAAAUAAAAAAAUCGUGAUUUCGUUGUUAUUA